GUGCAGCAGGCGCGAAUUUUUGACAAUGGGGGAAACCCUGAUCGAGCGACGCCGCGUGGAGGAUGAAGGUCUUCGGAUUGUAAACUCCUGUCAUUGGGGAACAAGGGUGCAUACGUUAACUGCGUGUGUAUUGAUAGUACCCGAAGAGGAAGGGACGGCUAACUCUGUGCCAGCAGCCGCGGUAAUACAGAGGGUCCCAAGCGUUGUUCGGAUUCAUUGGGCGUAAAGGGUGCGUAGGCGGCGCGGUAAGUCGGGUGUGAAAUCUCGGAGCUUAACUCCGAAACUGCAUUCGAUACUGCCGUGCUUGAGGACUGGAGAGGAGACUGGAAUUUACGGUGUAGCGGUGAAAUGCGUAGAUAUCGUAAGGAAGACCAGUGGCGAAGGGCGGGUACUCUGGACAGUUCCUGACGCUGAGGCACGAAGGCCAGGGGAGCAAACGGGAUUAGAUACCCCGGUAGU
rnacentral:rRNA from 1 species